rnacentral:tmRNA from 1 species
CCCCUUACAUUCUUGGCUCCAAUCGCCUAUAUCCUCUCUGCCAGCUCGCUGGCUAUGGCGAUAAACGGUGCGUGGAAUAAGCGUUGUGGACCCGGGGGCAGUGCCCGGCGCCUCCACCAUUGAGCCGCGAAGCGGAUCAAUCGCCCGAAGGGUGGAUUGGCAUCGACUGCGGGGUUCCUAUGGGGGCGAAACAGGCUCGACACGCGUGGUAAAGACCCAUCUUUUGCUCGGCAUGGUUCCGCCGUCAUCGGGCCAACACACAAGUGCCAACGACAAUCAGGCGCUCGCCGUCGCUGCAUAAGCGAUAGGCGCGGUCCGGGGGGCACCGGGCAACAGAAGCCCCCCACU